rnacentral:rRNA from 1 species
UACGAAGGGGGCUAGCGUUGUUCGGAAUUACUGGGCGUAAAGGGCUCGUAGGUGGCCAACUAAGUCAGACGUGAAAUCCCUCGGCUUAACCGGGGAACUGCGUCUGAUACUGGAUGGCUUGAGUUCGGGAGAGGGAUGCGGAAUUCCAGGUGUAGCGGUGAAAAUGCGUAGAGAUCCGGAAGAACACCGGUGGCGAAGGCGGCCUGCUGGGCAGUGGCUGGACACUGAGGCGCGACAGCGUGGGGAGCGAACGAGG